CCUACGGGUGGCUGCAGUGGGGAAUAUUGGACAAUGGGGGCAACCCUGAUCCAGCAAUGCCGCGUGUGUGAAGAAGGCCUGAGGGUUGUAAAGCACUUUUGAUGUAGAAGAGGCCUUAUGAAAGUAAGGUGACGGUAUAUAUUGAAUAAGCACCGGCUAACUCUGUGCCAGCAGCCGCGGUAAUACAGAGGGUGCAAGCGUUAAUCGGAGUGACUGGGCGUAAAGGGUGCGUAGGCGGUUAAGUAAGUUGGGUGUGAAAGUCUAUGGCUUAACCA
rnacentral:rRNA from 1 species